GCCUGAAUAGCUCAGUUGGUAGAGCAAGUGUUUUGUAAACACUAGGUCGUCAGUUCAAGUCUGACUUCAGGCU
rnacentral:tRNA from 1 species